CCUACGGGUGGCAGCAGUGAGGAAUAUUGGUCAAUGGGCGGAAGCCUGAACCAGCCAAGUCGCGUGAGGGAAUAAGGCCCUACGGGUCGUAAACCUCUUUUGCCGGGGAGCAAGCGCGGGGACGUGUCCCCGCCCGGAGAGUACCCGGAGACAAAGCAUCGGCUAACUCCGUGCCAGCAGCCGCGGUAAUACGGAGGAUGCGAGCGUUCUCCGGAUUUAUUGGGUUUAAAGGGUGCGUAGGCGGGCUUUUAAGUCAGCGGUAAAAAUUCGGGGCUCAACCCCGUCCGGCCGUUGAAACUGGGGGCCUUGAGUGGGCGAGAAGAAGGCGGAAUGCGUGGUGUAGCGGUGAAAUGCAUAGAUAUCACGAAGAAAUCCGAUUGCGAAGGCAGUUCACUGGACUGGAACUGACACUGAGGCUCGAAAGUGUGGGUAUCAAACAGGAUUAGAUACCCUGUAGUC
rnacentral:rRNA from 1 species